AGCGUUGUUCGGAAUUACUGGGCGUAAAGGGCGCGCAGGCGGCCUUAGAAGUCAGAUGUGAAAGCCCCGGGCUCAACCUGGGAAUGGCAUUUGAUACUCUGAGGCUGGAGUACGGGAGAGGAGAGUGGAAUUCCCAGUGUAGAGGUGAAAUUCGUAGAUAUCGGAAGGAACACCAGUGGCGAAAGCGGCUCCCUGGUCCAGCACCGACGUUCAGGCACGAAAGCGUGGGGAGCAAACAGG
rnacentral:rRNA from 1 species